AUAUUAUUAGGCGGAGGAAAAGAAACUAACAAGGAUUCCCCUAGUAACGGCGAGUGAAGCGGGAAGAGCUCAAAAUGAAAAUCGAAUUCCUCAACGGGUAUUCGAGUUGUAAUCUAAAGACGUGUUUUCUGCAUGUGACCCGGGUAUAACUCUUUUGAAACAAGGGAUCAUAGAGGGUGACAAUCCCGUCUUUGACCCGGAGUUCGCUGCGUACGAUACACGUUCAAAGAGUCGAGUAGCUUGGGAUGCUGCUCAAAAUGGGUGGUAAACCUCAUCUAAAGCUAAAUACCGGCCGGAGACCGAUAGCGCACAAGUA
rnacentral:rRNA from 1 species